GGCUGAGCCCUGCGUGAGGAGGCAGCUUCAGGCUCCAGAAAGAUCAUAUCUCCCAGGUGAGACCGACCUCCCCUACAGCUCUUACUUAGACCUUGGGCAGUGAUAGCAAGAAACAUUUGUCAAGCCCUUUCAGGAAGCCCAAGCCUCUGUGAAGUGCCUGAGACCUCACAUCAGCAUGCUGUGAGGAGACCCUGGCUGUGCAUCUGUGACUAUGAACCGUGGCCAAAUGAGAAAAUCCUGAUAGAUGUGGCUGGAGUGAUUAAUAGCAGCCUGUCCUCAGAGCUCUGAGAGUGUGUAUUUUAGGGGCAAGAAAGGAAGGAGAAAUCCAGAGAUGGGACCAGUGAAGAUGGCCCAGCUUAUACCUAUGCCUUCUUACCUGCCGCUGCAAGUCAACGCAUCUAGCAAACCUCCAGGGGAAAUGAUUUGCCCGAGAAACUGAAGAGCCGGAAAAUAGGAGCUCAUCUUAGAGGGAAGAAUCCAGCCAAUAAGCCAGAUCCAGAAUCAAAACCUUAGUUCUCAAUAAAUCAGAUGGGUCCCCA